AGAAACCGGCGGCGAAAGGUGGUAAAUCUAAGAAGACGACGACGGCUAAAGCAACGAAGAAGCCUGUGAAAGCUGCUGCUCCAACGAAGAAGAAAACAACUUC
rnacentral:sRNA from 1 species